rnacentral:rRNA from 1 species
UACGUAGGGUGCAAGCGUUAAUCGGAAUUACUGGGCGUAAAGCGUGCGCAGGCGGUUUUGUAAGUCUGUCGUGAAAUCCCCGGGCUCAACCUGGGAAUGGCGAUGGAGACUGCAAGGCUAGAAUCUGGCAGAGGGGGGUAGAAUUCCACGUGUAGCAGUGAAAUGCGUAGAGAUGUGGAGGAACACCGAUGGCGAAGGCAGCCCCCUGGGUCAAGAUUGACGCUCAUGCACGAAAGCGUGGG